rfam:Rattus norvegicus chromosome 16, whole genome shotgun sequence.
GGGGAUUUGGCUCAGCGGUAGAGCGCUUGCCUAGCAAGCGCAAGGCCCUGGGUUCGGUCCCCAGCUCCA